ACGAAGGUGGCAAGCGUUACUCGGAAUUACUAGGCGUAAAGGGCAGGUAGGUGGUUCAGUAAGUCUGUUGUGGAAGCUCCCGGCUUAACCGGGAGAGGCCAACGGAAACUACUGAACUUGAGUGUAGGAGAGGGUACUGGAAUUCCCGGUGUAGCGGUGAAAUGCGCAGAGAUCGGGAGGAACACCAAUGGCGAAAGCAGGUACCUGGACUAUUACUGACACUAAGCUGCGAAAGCUAGGGGAGCAAACAGGA
rnacentral:rRNA from 1 species